GCAAAAGUUUUAAGAGAACAUGCUUCCAUAGAUAGGGAAGCUGCUCAACUGGUCUGUUACUGUCGGCGUCUGAAUGUUGCUAAAUCCCUGAGUUUCUCUCCCUUUGAAGAGUGAUGGAAGAAGAAAAAGCAUGGCCUCUGGAUUAGACCAAAUUGACUUUGAACACUGACUUUGCCAUGUACCGGCUGUGUGACCUUGGGAAGCUCUCCCAAACUUUGUGAGCCUCAGGUUCUUCAUCUGCAAAGUGGGUGCAAUCCCGCCCAGCUGGAAGUGUGGAGGUGAGGAGAGAGCAAGUUUCUACAGGGCCACUCAAGUCAGAGGAAUUUCCUUCCUCUUGGAUCUGCACUCACCUACAUGCUAAAGAGAAGUAUCCUGUGAGCAAAAGGAAGAUGGAGAUACUCUGGGGCUUGAGCAGAGACGAGCUCUCAGGAGAUAAACCCUCUGAAGCUCCAUGGAUUCGGUCACAUCACAUAGCUGCUAAGUGAACCUAGAUCUUUCUGGAAUGGCAGGGUGCCGAGAAGAAUCUCUUCCUGAGUGAAGGCAUUUUAACUAUUUGAAGACAUUUUGAAGAUAAUUUGUUUGAACCUAUCCAUCACUUCUGCAACAAAGCCCCCUCCCCAACUUCCUCUGCC
rnacentral:lncRNA from 1 species